rnacentral:rRNA from 1 species
CCUACGGGUGGCAGCAGUGGGGAAUAUUGGGCAAUGGGCGAAAGCCUGACCCAGCCAAGUAGCGUGAAGGAUGACUGCCCUACGGGUUGUAAACUUCUUUUAUCAAGGAAUAAAGUGAGGCACGUGUGCCUUUUUGUAUGUACUUUAUGAAUAAGGAUCGGCUAACUCCGUGCCCGCAGCCGCGGUAAUACGGAGGAACCGAGCGUUAUCCGGAGUUAUUGGGGUUAAAGGGAGCGUAGAUGGGUUGUUAAGUCAGUUGUGAAAGUUUGCGGCUCAACCGUAAAAUUGCAAUUGAUACUGGCAGUCUUGAGUACAGUUGAGGUAGGCGGAAUGCGUGGUGUAGCGGUGAAAUGCUUAGAUAUCACGAAGAACUCCGAUUGCGAAGGCAGCUUACUAAACUGCCACUGACAUUGAUGCUCGAAAGUGUGGGUAUCAAACAGGAUUAGAUACCCCUGUAGUC